GAUGAAGAACGUAGCGAAAUGCGAUAAGUAGUGUGAAUUGCAGAAUUCAGUGAAUCAUCGAAUCUUUGAACGCACAUUGCGCCCCUUGGUAUCCCGAGGGGCAUGCCUGUUCGAACGUCAUUUCACCACUCAAGCCUGGCUUGGUGUUGGGCGACGUCCUCUUUGGGGACGCGCCUCGAAACGCUCGGCGGCGUGGCACCGGCUUUAAGCGUAGCAGAAUCUUUCGCUUUGGAAGUCGGGGCCCCGUCUGCCGGAAGACCUGCUCGCAAGGUUGACCUCGGAUCAGGCAGGGAUACCCGCUGAACUUAAGCAUAUCAAUAAGCGGAGGA
rnacentral:misc_RNA from 1 species